rnacentral:rRNA from 1 species
UACAGAGGGUGCAAGCGUUACUCGGAUUUACUGGGCGUAAAGCGUGCGUAGGCGGCUCGCUAAGUCGGUUGUGAAAUCCCUGGGCUUAACCUGGGAACUGCAGUCGAUACUGGCGGACUAGAGUACGGUAGAGGGUGGCGGAACUCCGGGUGUAGCGGUGAAAUGCGUAGAUAUCCGGAAGAACACCGAUGGCGAAGGCAACCACCUGGGCCUGUACUGACGCUGAGGUACGAAAGCGUGGGGAGCUAACAGG